GCCGACGUAGCUCAGAUGGCAGAGCGGGUCACUCGUAAUGACCAGGUCACCGGUUCGAUUCCGGUCGUCGGCUCCA
rnacentral:tRNA from 1 species